UACGUAGGGUGCGAGCGUUUUUUUUUUUUUUUUUUUGUCCGGAAUAUUGGGCGUAAAGAGCUUUGUAGGCGGUUUUGUCGCGUCUGCUGUGAAAUCUCAAGGCUCAACCUUUGAGCUUUGCAGUGGGGUACGGGCAGACUAGAGUGUGGUAGGGGGAGACUGGAAUUUCCUGGUGUAGCGGUGAAAUGCGCAGAUAUCAGGAGGAACACCGAUGGCGA
rnacentral:rRNA from 1 species